rnacentral:rRNA from 1 species
UACGAAGGGGGGCUAGCGUUGCUCGGAAUCACUGGGCGUAAAGGGUGCGUAGGCGGGUCUUUUAAGUCAGGGGUGAAAUCCUGGAGCUCAACUCCAGAACUGCCUUUGAUACUGAAGAUCUUGAGUCCGGGAGAGGUGAGUGGAACUGCGAGUGUAGAGGUGAAAUUCGUAGAUAUUCGGAAGAACACCAGUGGCGAAGGCGGCUCACUGGUCCGGUACUGACGCUGAGGUGCGAAAGCGUGGGGAGCAAACAGG